UACGAAGGGUGCAAGCGUUAAUCGGAAUUACUGGGCGUAAAGCGUGCGCAGGCGGUUGUGCAAGACCGAUGUGAAAUCCCCGGGCUUAACCUGGGAAUGGCAUUGGUGACUGCACGGCUAGAGUGUGUCAGAGGGGGGUAGAAUUCCACGUGUAGCAGUGAAAUGCGUAGAGAUGUGGAGGAAUACCGAUGGCGAAGGCAGCCCCCUGGGAUAACACUGACGCUCAUGCACGAAAGUGUGGGGAGCAAACAGG
rnacentral:rRNA from 1 species